AUGUGAAGACCAUCUGUUUGUAACACAUCUCCUCUGAGGGCUGAGGUUGUUCCAGCUGACCUGGCAGGAAAGGCAGUUACCUCUUCUUUUUCUCACCAUUCAACCUGGGUACCUGCCAGUGAUGUACAUUUGGUCAAGGAACACAGCCUUCUAAACAGAAGGACCAUUUAUCUUAUCAAGGAUAUUCAAGGAUCUGUACUUCCCUGCAAAUUUUACAUCCGUUUAUUUAAGGCCAGUGGGACAAUGACAGAGGGCAGUACAUCUUCUAAGACUGCUUUUCUCUAAAAACCUGUCCCAGAGAUUGACAGCUCU
rnacentral:snRNA from 1 species